UCUAAGAAAUUGGAGGGAAAAGAAAUGCCAGUGGCGAAACCACAGUCUUCUGAUGCCAAAAUCAUCGCUUACGUCGACAUGGACUGCUUGGACGUUCAAGUUUUGCUGUAGUUUGUUCUGCUCUGAAAAUGUGAUAUUUUCAAUGCAAUGGAGCAGAGAAAGCAACUACAUUUAAGGGGUUUAGCUUCUGCUGUGGUACAGUACAAUGAGUGGAAAGAUGGGGACCUGAUAGCUGUUAGCUUUGAUGCCUGGAAAUAUGGUGUAAAGUGUCCAAUGAGAGGAAUGAGGCAGAGGAAGUUUGUCCACAAAUGAGCUAGUACAAGUCCCUGUAGCCCGUGGUAAAGCUGAUCUGAUUACAUACCAGAAUGCAUUGUGGGUUCAGAGUCCUUUCUUUCAAGGAAGGGUCGUUGUGAGGGGGCUUCUAUUGAUAAAGUGUAUCUCGAUCUUACUGAUGCUGCAAAGCUAUGCUAGCAGAAACUCCUCUAGAGAGCUUGGAAGUGGUAGAUGAGGAAGUUCUUAAACCACAAAUGUUGGGGCUUAUAAGCGAGGUAAAAGACCCUGUUUUUCCAUUUUCUGUAAUGACAGGUGGAUA